GGGGAUUGAUCGCAUUUUUUGGUCAGUACACAGGGGCAAGAUUCCUAUGUACUGAAUGGUACUGGAUAGUGUCAGUUACUUGGAUAACUGCGGUAAUUCUGGAGCUAAUACAUGCUACAACUCCCUUUACGUUGUGUGAGGGGUGCUUUUAUUAGACAAAAACCAAACGGCUUCACGGCCGUCUUGUUGGUGAUUCUGAAUAACUUUUUGCUGAUCGCACGGCUCGUUCCGGCGACGUAUCUUUCUAAGGUGUGCCCUAUCAACUGUCGACUGUGGCAUAGACGCCCACAGUGGUUUUGACGGGUAACGGGGAAUCAGGGUUCGAUUCCGGAGAGGGAGCCUGAGAAACGGCUACCACUUCUAAGGGAGGCAGCAGGCACGCAAAUUACCCACUGGUCAUAAAAGACCGAGGUAGUGAC
rnacentral:rRNA from 1 species